CCUUAACUGUGUUACCUGUUAUGGCAGCUAACAGACACUCGGCGCAUGGCUCCUUUGUUUACGUUAGGGAUCAGCUGUUAGCGCUGCGCCCUGCAGCUGCGCUACCGGCAGACAGACCCUACGUCCCCAGUGAGGGAAGAGACGGGGGUGAUGUCUCCCGAUAA